CCGCGCUUGUUUUGUCGAGGGGUAAAGGCGCUUGGUGAUUUUUGCGGUUGCGACUGUUCUACGUUAAACUACCUUGUUGUUAUCAAAACGACUAAUCUUCCAAAUCAACCUGGAGAAGGGGUUGAAGAAAAUGGGAGCAGUGAAGCGAACAACGGCCCAUCGCAAGAUUUUAGCGCUGCUGAAGGGCUUCAAAUGAGUCUCCACAGAAAUCCCUUGAAUCUGUAUGUUUUUUUAUGAAAAUACAGUUUGCACCUCAAGACAUCGAGCAAUGUUUGAUGAUUUAACCAUUUG
rnacentral:lncRNA from 1 species